rnacentral:rRNA from 1 species
GCCUACGGGUGGCAGCAGUGAGGAAUAUUGGUCAAUGGGAGAGAUCCUGAACCAGCCAAGCCGCGUGAGGGAAGACGUCCCUCUGGGUUGUAAACCUCUUUUGUCGGAGAACAAACCCCGGGCCGUGUCCCGGACUGCGUGUAUCCGAAGAAAAAGCAUCGGCUAACUCCGUGCCAGCAGCCGCGGUAAUACGGGGGAUGCGAGCGUUAUCCGGAUGUAUUGGGGUUAGAGGGUGCGUAGGCGGUCCGUUAAGUCAGCGGUAAAAUUGCGGGGCUCAACCCCGUCGAGCCGUUGAAACUAGCAGACUUGAGUUGGGGAGGAGUACGCGGAAUGCGCGGUGUAGCGGUGGAAUGCAUAGAUAUCGCGCAGAACUCCGAUUGCGAAGGCAGCGUACCGGAGCCAGACUGACGCUGAGGCACGAAAGCGUGGGGAUCGAACAGGAUUAGAUACCCCAGUAGUC